UUCGCAAUGCCCGAAAGGGUGACGAUGCGACGCCGCGUGAGCGAAGAAGGCCCUAGGGUUGUAAAGCUCUGUCGAGGGUUAUGAAAUAUAGAUGGGUUAAUACCCCAUUUAUUUGACAAAAGCCCAAAAGGAGGCCACGGCUAACUCUGUGCCAGCAGCCGCGGUAAUACAGAGGUGGCGAGCGUUGUUCGGUAUUAUUGGGCGUAAAGAGCACGUAGGUGGUUUUGUAAGUCAGGUGUGAAAGCCUUCUGUUCAAAGGAAGAACGGCAUCUGAAACUGCAGAUCUUGAGUGUAGGAGGGGAGAGUGGAACUUCUGGUGGAGCGGUGAAAUGCGUAGAUAUCAGAAGGAACGUCGGCGGCGAAAGCGACUCUCUGGCCUAUUACUGACACUGAGUGUGCGAAAGUUAGGGGAGCAAACGGGGUUAGAUACCCCGGUAGUCCUAACCGUAAACGAUGGGCACUAAGUAGAGGGGUUUU
rnacentral:rRNA from 1 species